rnacentral:rRNA from 1 species
GAUGAACGCUGGCGGCGUGCUUAACACAUGCCAGUCGAACGGAAAGGCUCCUGCUUGCAGGGGUACUCGAGUGGCGAACGGGUGAGUAACACGUGGGUGAUCUGCCCUGUACUUCGGGAUAAGCUUGGGAAACUGGGUCUAAUACCGGAUAGGACAACUUUUUGGAUAUUGUUGUGGAAAGCUUUUGCGGUAUGGGAUGAGCUCGCGGCCUAUCAGCUUGUUGGUGGGGUAAUGGCCUACCAAGGCGUCGACGGGUAGCCGGCCUGAGAGGGUGUACGGCCACAUUGGGACUGAGAUACGGCCCAGACUCCUACGGGAGGCAGCAGUGGGGAAUAUUGCACAAUGGGCGCAAGCCUGAUGCAGCGACGCCGCGUGGGGGAUGAAGGCCUUCGGGUUGUAAACUCCUUUCGCUAGGGACGAAGCUUUUUUGUGACGGUACCUGGAGAAGAAGCACCGGCUAACUACGUG